UUUGUUGUGUUGACUAAUUAUGGGAUUCUUUUUAACGGAGAUAGAUAAAGUUUGAUGUGGUUGGAGAUUAUAAAAUAUUGUUGAGAUGAUAGUGAAUUUAUAUAUGAAUAUCAUUUAAAAAUUAAAGUAAGACAAAGAUUGAGAAGAAAUAUUGUAACGUCCCGACCGUCUUUAUCAGUAGGCUCCACGUUCUCUUUCGUGUUCGUGGGUCUACUCCUAUCAGACGGUCGGUUUGCUACAUCUGGGUAGGUUUAAAGAUUUUUAUUUUACUGAUCCAAGAAAUCACCACAUGAUCUUUUUCCAUGCUUUGUUUGCAUUCGCAUGGUUCUGACAAUCACUUCUCGGAAGUUCACACAUCCUUCAGUUACUUCAGCCCGAGCACGCUUAACUGUGUAGUUCUCUUAGAACAUUUGACCAAAAAAUAUAAGUGUUCUUUGGUGACAUAGGUGGUCAAAUCAAUUAUGUUACACCUCUCUAUAUGCACCAUCAUAUUUAAGAAAUCGAGGUGUUACAAAU
rnacentral:sRNA from 1 species